UACGUAGGGGGCAAGCGUUGUCCGGAUUUAUUGGGCGUAAAGAGCGUGUAGGCGGCUUUACAGGUCCGCUGUGAAAACUCGAGGCUCAACCUCGAGCUGUCGGUGGAAACCGUAAGGCUAGAGUCCGGAAGAGGAGAGUGGAAUUCCCGGUGUAGCGGUGAAAUGCGCAGAUAUCGGGAAGAACACCCGUGGCGAAGGCGGCUACUCUGGGCC
rnacentral:rRNA from 1 species